rnacentral:lncRNA from 1 species
GAAACAAGGAAACGAAUUUUGUUAUGGAGAAAAUAAAUCCACAUCAAGGUAGGCAAUGGUGGAAGUCAAAGUGGGCGAACAAAAGAAAACACCAGGCAAUGGUGGAAGUCAAAGUGGGCUAACAAAAGAAAACACCAGGUAUGCCUUCCAAUUACAAUAAGAACAUGUAGUACGACAUGAUUAACUCAUUCAGGAUUUUAAUGGCAGCUACCUUCAGUGACUGCAGAAAUAAAUAAUUAAAUUCAAAAAAAGUUUAAUCUUUUGAAUUAAAUUCAAAAAAGUUCAACAAUCUUUUUAUCUGAAAUCAGCUGAGAACUUUGUUUCACAGUUCAGAUCCAAAUUUGGGAAAACACGUGAUGUUCCAUAAUCCUCAUUUUUUGUUCACUUAUGUUCCAAGUUUCUUUUAAAAGCAAAUUAAGUCUAAUAAAAUUCCAUAAGUAAAAAAGAAGCCAUUCAAAAGUAACAAUCUUCAACCACCAAUGAAUUGAUGAAACUAAGAACUGGUCACGUUAUGCAAACCGGGAUAUAAUCUUAAUUUUCAACAAACAAUAACUUUUUUAAUGGUACAGAAAUUAAGACAUCACUACUUAAGAUUCAAUAGCAGAUUUCAAAUGAAGCCAAUCUAUGAACAGGAAUGAACAAAUCCAAUACACUUGAGAAACGAGGUGAAAACCAAAAACGAAAAAGGCACAUGUCAAACAGAUCACUGAGCUCAACACCAAUCUUUUGCAGCAUGUACAUAGCUAGAAACAAACACCAUAU